UGGAAUUGCUAGUAAUGGCAGGUCAGCAUACUGCCGUGAAUACGUUCCCGGGCCUUGUACACACCGCCCGUCACACCAUGAGAGUUGGGAAUACCCGAAGCCUGUGAGCUAACUUAUAGAGGCAGCAGUCGAAGGUAGAAUCAAUGAUUGGGGUGAAGUCGUAACAAGGUAGC
rnacentral:rRNA from 1 species